UACGUAGGGGCUAGCGUUAUCCGGAAUUACUGGGCGUAAAGGGUGCGUAGGCGGUCUUUCAAGCCAGAAGUGAAAGGCUACGGCUCAACCGUAGUAAGCUUUUGGAACUGUAAGACUUGAGUGCAGGAGAGGAGAGUGGAAUUCCUAGUGUAGCGGUGAAAUGCGUAGAUAUUAGGAGGAACACCAGUGGCGAAGGCGACUUACUGGACUGUAACUGACGCUGAGUCACGAAAGCGUGGGUAGCAAACAGGAUUAGAUACCCUGGUAGUCCCUGA
rnacentral:rRNA from 1 species